rnacentral:rRNA from 1 species
GAUGAACGCUGGCGGCGUGCUUAACACAUGCAAGUCGAACGAAGCACUUUAUUUGAUUUCCUUCGGGACUGAUUAUUUUGUGACUGAGUGGCGGACGGGUGAGUAACGCGUGGGUAACCUGCCUUGUACAGGGGGAUAACAGUUGGAAACGGCUGCUAAUACCGCAUAAGCGCACAGCAUCGCAUGAUGCAGUGUGAAAAACUCCGGUGGUAUAAGAUGGACCCGCGUUGGAUUAGCUAGUUGGUGAGGUAACGGCCCACCAAGGCGACGAUCCAUAGCCGACCUGGGAGGGUGACCGGCCACAUUGGGACUGAGACACGGCCCAAACUCCUACGGGAGGCAGCAGUGGGGAAUAUUGCACAAUGGGCGAAAGCCUGAUGCAGCGACGCCGCGUGAGCGAAGAAGUAUUUCGGUAUGUAAAACUCUAUCAGCAGGGAAGAUAAUGACGGUACCUGACGAAGAAGCACCGGCUAAAUACGUG